GUCAGAUGUGAAAGCCCGGGGCUCAACCUCGGAAUUGCAUUUGAAAACUGGACAAACUAGAGUACUGUAGAGGGGGUAGAAUUUCCAGGUGUAGCGGUGAAAUGCGUAGAGAUCUGAAGGAAUACCGGUGGCGAAGGCGGCCCCCUGGACAGAUACUGACACUCAGAUGCGAAAGCGUGGGGACGCAAACAGGAUUAGAUACCCUGGUAG
rnacentral:rRNA from 1 species